UUUGACUAUGUGUUUGGACCUUGGUCAAGUUUGAUUUGACUUUUGUUGGGUUAAAAUCAUUGGAUUUAGGGGAUUGAUGAAAUGUACAUUUCAGAUCCCAAAAUGAAUGAAUUAUUUUAAUUUGAUAAAAUUUCUCCCAUGACCAAUUUGUGUUUGUCUCAUUUCCCCUCCCUCUUCAUCUUCAAUCCCAUUAUGUCCC
rnacentral:lncRNA from 1 species